rnacentral:rRNA from 1 species
UACGAAGGGGGCUAGCGUUGCUCGGAAUGACUGGGCGUAAAGGGCGCGUAGGCGGAUGGCACAGUCAGAUGUGAAAUUCCCGGGCUUAACCUGGGGGCUGCAUUUGAUACGUGUUGUCUAGAGUGAGGAAGAGGGUUGUGGAAUUCCCAGUGUAGAGGUGAAAUUCGUAGAUAUUGGGAAGAACACCGGUGGCGAAGGCGGCAACCUGGUCCUUGACUGACGCUGAGGCGCGAAAGCGUGGGUAGCAAACAGG